CCCAUAGGUCAGCAUAUACUAUGUCUAGUGUCUGUUUAGUCGAGUUUUCUGGACGAGAGGGGGAAGGGGAGACGGUGGUGUUUUGCCAUUACACACGAGUCGCAAAACUGAACUUCUUUAUUUAAAAGUGAUAUAUUUAGUUGAAUUUUUUUGACAAUAGACUUAGUUAACUUCUCUGGGAUGUGACCAAAGCGAUAGUGCUGGAGAGUUAACGGUAUGUUGCCUAUUGCAUUGACUUCAUGCGUCUUUUCGGAUGUCCCCAGAUUUAGUUCGUACAUCCCUCCGGAGACUCCCCUUCGCGCCAGGACCUCAUUAGUCUGUAAGUCAAUCAGAGUCAAAGAUGAUUUAUCAAAUCAACAACCAAUAUCUCCUGUGAUUAGGGAAAAUUGAAACUGAUAAGAAACUUCGAAAUCGAAACACUCGAACCCGGUGGGUGAAUCAGAGUGGCUCCGGUAGCCGGUAAGCUAUCUCUUUCUUCUUUUGUUUAGGUUUUUGUAUAGAUGAUAAGCAGAAUUACUGUAUAUUUAGGUUUAAGCUUUGACAAACGGAUUUCUCCUCCUUUCUGAUGAUGUUUCUGUUCGAGAGUAAACCUGCUAUAACUCCUCCGGCGAACAUUGGAAGAUCGGGAUAAGAGAAGACGAAGCAAGAAUCGGAAGAGGAAACACACUCACGAAUCACGAAUCACGAUCAUCUCCUAUCUCCUGUGAUGAGGGAAAACUGAAACUGAUAACAAACUUCGAAAUCGAAACAGUCGAGAUAAACGGCCCUUCGGUUUGGAUUUUGUCUUUUAGUCGGAUGAUCGAGGAUCGAUCAUAUCAAAAUCUGGUUCUACGGACGUAAUCUACGGUUGAUAUAAUUUGGACAUAAAGCUAGGGAUGAUAGCUAAUAAGCCUGAUAUAGGUAAUAUGGUUUAUAUAUAUCUACGGUUGUAAUUUGUAAAUAUGUUUCUGUAUUUUCUAUUUAAUUUACUUAUAAAUAAGUAGUCCUAUAAGGAUGUGACCUAUUAAUUUUGCUCUAUGCGGCUUUUCUACUAUCUUAAUUGAAUUUCAAUCCUCUCAAAUCUCAACUACCGUCGUCAAUACCACCACAAAACUAAC
rnacentral:lncRNA from 1 species